rnacentral:lncRNA from 1 species
GGACAAAAUUAUGGGAAAAUGGGAAAUGAUAAGAUAUCACUGAACAAAAGGGAAAUAUACUGCCAAUAUUCAUCAUGAAAAUAUUUGAUCAUUCUUCUGUGUUGUUUUGGGUUGUUUUUGGUUUUUUUUGGUUUGUUUUGGAUUUUCUCCUUGAGUCAUAAACCUCCCUAUCCUGAGGAUGAACUUUAUGAAGUCUUUUUUUGUUCUUUGUUUGGAUGGGUACAAACACAGAGGAUAAUUUCAUAACAGAUAAAUAUAUUAUACAGAGUUUCCACUGUUCUAGGUCAUUGAUAAUACUAGGAUGAUGUAAUCUAAUUUUCCUUAAUUGAGCAACCCCCAAGCUGUGUAUUACUUUUGUAAUAUAUUUAGUCAGUAACUAGAUAUUGUUAGUUACAGAUGGCUGAACAAUAACUCUUAUCUCAAUACUUGGUGCCAUCAUGUUGGCAUCAUUUUCCAGUGUUGGAAAGCAUCAGCUACAGAAAAUAUUGGAAUAGAAGAGAUACUAUCACUAACUCCAAGUAGUAAACCUGACUCUGCAAUUAAAAACCCAUGGAAAAAUACGCUAAUUUAAUAGCUUUUGGUAAUCUUCUAGUAUUGUUGCUCUCCUAAGACAACCACGACUAGAAUAUUACUGAAUGAACGCUCAGAUUCUCCAAUACACAGCAGGUCUUGAUGUGACACUGCAAAUAAUGUCUGUUAAAAGGAUGAGUGUAUAUUCUAGGAUGAAAUGUUGAAAUUAAACUAAAAAACAACUCCAGAAUAAAAUAUAUGGUUCACUAACAGUGGGACUGCAAUCAAAGUCAUCUUCAGAAUUCAACAUCUGUCAUCAGAUAGUUAUGCCAGACUGCCUCCCAGCUUGCAUUUGAAUGUCACGAGUGGAAAAGAAUCCAUCCACUUGAUUAUAUUUUUCAUCUAUUUCAUUUGUACCUAGAAAUGGAAAGUAAAAGAUAUGCAGAUCCAUGCCAAGAGAAAAGUACACUGCUUGAGAUUCCAGAUUCAGAACCUCCCACAGUUUGACAAACAGCAGUGCAAGAGAGGCACUUCGAUUGCACUUGGAACAACUCCUGGCAGCAGCUUGGAGAAAUCUGCAGUUGACAUUUCCCUACAGAAAUGCACAGCUUAGCAGGCACAUGCCCAAACACAGCGCUCUCUUUCUAACAAUGGGAACACCUUCAUCCCUGAUGGGACCUUACACCACUGUGAGUGCAAGUCACUGUGUAACCUGUAUCCAAAUGGCAAAUGGGGUCAAGUAUUAAAACGGUCUGAAGAAGCCACAGAAAGAAUCUGGAAGUGAGACUAAACUGAUCUGCAUGGUUCAGAAGGAGAUGGUAUCCGACCAGAAAAAGCUAAAUAGAAGUGAAUGAGCAAGGGCUAGGACAAGAAUAAAGGCUGGGGUUGGGCCA